rnacentral:lncRNA from 1 species
AUGGAUUCAGUGCUGUCUAGGUUUGUGGUUCAAGAGCAUCUGGCGGAGCUCAGCAGCGUCAAUCUCUUUAGCAUGACUCUCUGGCCUGUAGUAGCCAGUAACUGGGUCUGGCACCCAUGAUGUUGUCUUCUUGCUUGAUUCUUCCCCACCUUUCUUCAUCAUAAUAUUAACCCCUGAUCCUCUCACUCCACCUGACACACUAGCUGAUGAUGCAGCCGCAUACCCACGCCUGCACAACAUUCAUUCAUAUACACAAACAUUAGUAGUCAACAUUUUUAACUCAGAAAGAAAGAAAGUCCCAUCAACAAAAUUAAUAAUUUAAUCAGAAAUCACAGAGCUUAUCUCCCCUGUUUUCCUCAAUGUUAACUACUUGCUCUUUGCAUCAUCAUACUUAUAUUUUAAACUUUCUUUUAUUAUCCAACCCUUAUAACCGGUUACACAAACUCAACAUAAACAUAAAACAAAGUUAAACCCGAACGGAGUGAAAUAUAUAGUGUAUAGACAUAAAUAAACCUGACUAGAGUAACAUAUAGUUAAAGAAAAUUCAACGACCUCGACUAAUUUGAGUUUCUUUUUGGAAAAAAAGGGGAAGAUGUUAGACGUUUCCAAACAAAAAGUUGGAAAAGCACGGUUAUAUU